rnacentral:rRNA from 1 species
CUUGAAACACGGACCAAGGAGUCUAGCAUGUGCGCGAGUCAUUGGGACUUGCGAAACCUAAAGGCGAAAUGAAAGUGAAGGCGCGCCUCGCGCGCGCCGAGGGAGGAUGGGCCGCGCCUCGGUGCGGCCCCGCACUCCCGGGGCGUUUCGUUCUCAUCGCGAGAUGAGGCGCACCCAGAGCGUACACGCUGGGACCCGAAAGAUGGUGAACUAUGCCUGGUCAGGACGAAGUCAGGGGAAACCCUGAUGGAGGUCCGUAGCGAUUCUGACGUGCAAAUCGAUCGUCGGAACUGGGUAUAGGGGCGAAAGACUAAUCGAACCAUCUAGUAGCUGGUUCCCUCCGAAGUUUCCCUCAGGAUAGCUGGCGCUCGCUUUGCGAGUCUCAUCCGGUAAAGCGAAUGAUUAGAGGCAUUGGGGUCGAAACGGCCUCAACCUAUUCUCAAACUUUAAAUGGGUGAGAUCUCCGGCUUGCUUGAAACGUGAAGCCGCGAGAUAUCUUAAUUCGGAUCAGAGUGCCAAGUGGGCCAUUUUUGGUAAGCAGAACUGGCGCUGUGGGAUGAACCAAACGCCGAGUUAAAGCGCCCAAAUCGACGCUUAUGGGAUACCAUGAAAGGCGUUGGUAACUUAAGACAGCAGGACG